rnacentral:rRNA from 1 species
GACGAACGCUGGCGGCGUGCUUAACACAUGCAAGUCGAACGAAAAGAGGGAAAGAGCUUGCUCUUUCCGGAAUUGAGUGGCAAACGGGUGAGUAACACGUAAACAACCUGCCUUCAGGAUGGGGACAACAGACGGAAACGACUGCUAAUACCGAAUAAGUUCCAAGGGCCGCAUGGCCCAUGGAAGAAAAGGUGGCCUCUACCUGUAAGCUAUCGCCUGAAGAGGGGUUUGCGUCUGAUUAGCUGGUUGGAGGGGUAACGGCCCACCAAGGCGACGAUCAGUAGCCGGUCUGAGAGGAUGAACGGCCACACUGGAACUGCGACACGGUCCAGACUCCUACGGGAGGCAGCAGUGGGGAAUCUUCCGCAAUGGGCGAAAGCCUGACGGAGCAACGCCGCGUGAGUGAUGACGGCCUUCGGGUUGUAAAACUCUGUGAUCCGGGACGAAAAGGCAGAGUGCGAAGAACAAACUGCAUUGACGGUACCGGAAAAGCAAGCCACGGCUAACUACGUG